UCCGGUUUAUCACCGGUCAAGAACAUGUCAAGCCCAGGUAAGGUUCUUCGCGUUGCGUCGAAUUAAACCACAUGCUCCGCUGCUUGUGCGGGCCCCCGUCAAUUCCUUUGAGUUUUAGCCUUGCGGCCGUACUCCCCAGGCGGGUCACUUAAUGCGUUAGCUUCGGCACAGGAAGAGUCGACACCUCCCACACCUAAUGCCCAUCGUUUACGGCGUGGACUAC
rnacentral:misc_RNA from 1 species